AAAGCCCCCGGCUCAACCGGGGAGGGUCAUUGGAAACUGGGGAACUUGAGUGCAGAAGAGGAGAGUGGAAUUCCACGUGUAGCGGUGAAAUGCGUAGAGAUGUGGAGGAACACCAGUGGCGAAGGCGACUUUCUGGUCUGUAACUGACGCUGAGGAGCGAAAGCGUGGGGAGCGAACAGGAUUAGAUACCCUGGUAGUCCACGCCGUAAACGAUGAGUGCUAAGUGUUAGGGGGUUUCCGCCCCUUAGUGCUGCAGCUAACGCAUUAAGCACUCCGCCUGGGGAGUACGGUCGCAAGACUGAAACUCAAAGGAAUUGACGGGGGCCCGCACAAGCGGUGGAGCAUGUGGUUUAAUUCGAAGCAACGCGAAGAACCUUACCAGGUCUUGACAUCCUCUGACAAUCCUAG
rnacentral:rRNA from 1 species